ACGGUGAUUAAUACCUUAUAAGUCGGUAGUCUCGCAUGAGAUAGCCGACAAAGAUUUAUCGGUAUGGGAUGGGCCCGCGUUUGAUUAGCUAGUUGGUGAGGUAACGGCUCACCAAGGCGACGAUCAGUAGCCGACCUGAGAGGGUGAUCGGCCACACUGGAACUGAGAAACGGUCCAGACUCCUACGGGAGGCAGCAGUGGGGAAUAUUGGGCAAUGGGCGAAAGCCUGACCCAGCAACGCCGCGUGAAGGAAGAAGGUUUUCGGAUUGUAAACUUCUGUCCUCAGGGAAGAAGAAAGUGACGGUACCUGAGGAGGAAGCCCCGGCUAACUACGUGCCAGCAGCCGCGGUAAUACGUAGGGGGCGAGCGUUGUCCGGAAUGACUGGGCGUAAAGGGCGCGUAGACGGCUGUCUAAGUCUGGAGUGAAAGUCCUGCUUUCAAGGUGGGAAUUGCUUUGGAGACUGGAUGGCUUGAGUGCGGAAGAGGUAAGUGGAAUUCCCAGUGUAGCGGUGAAAUGCGUAGAGAUUGGGAGGAACACCAGUGGCGAAGGCGACUUACUGGGCCGUAACUGACGUUGAUGCGCGAAAGCGUGGGGAGCGAACAGGAUUAGAUACCCUGGUAGUCCACGCGGUAAACGAUGAGUGCUAGGUGUAGCGGGUAUCGACCCCUGCUGUGCCGGAGUUAACACAAUAAGCA
rnacentral:rRNA from 1 species